CUACGGGACGCUGCAGUGAGGAAUAUUGCACAAUGGGGGGAACCCUGAUGCAGCAACGCCGCGUGGAGGAUGACGCAUUUCGGUGUGUAAACUCCUUUUAUAUGUCAAGAAAAUGACGGUAGCAUAUGAAUAAGCACCGGCUAACUCCGUGCCAGCAGCCGCGGUAAUACGGAGGGGUGAAGCGUUACUCGGAAUCACUGGGCGUAAAGGACGCGUAGGCGGGUUGGAAAGUCAGGUGUGAAAUCCUACAGCUUAACUGUAGAACUGCACUUGAAACUUCUAAUCUAGAGUAUGGGAGGGGGAGAUGGAAUUAGUGGUGUAGGGGUAAAAUCCGUAGAUAUCACUAGGAAUACCUAAAGCGAAGGCGAUCUCCUGGAACAUUACUGACGCUAAGGCGUGAAAGCGUGGGGAGCAAACAGGAUUAGAUACCCCCGUAGUC
rnacentral:rRNA from 1 species